rnacentral:rRNA from 1 species
GGACCCGCACAAGCAGUGGAGUAUGUGGUUUAAUUCGAAGAUACGCGAAGAACCUUACCAGGUCUUGACAUCCAACUAACGAAGCAGAGAUGCAUUAGGUGCCUUUCGGGGAAAGUUGAGACAGGUGGUGCAUGGUUGUCGUCAGCUCGUGUCGUGAGAUGUUGGGUUAAGUCCCGCAACGAGCGCAACCCUUAUCCUUAGUUGCUACGCAAGAGCACUCUGGGGAGACCGCCGUGGAUAACGCGGAGGAAGGUGGGGAUGACGUCAAAUCAUCAUGCCCCUUAUGACCUGGGCUACACACGUACUACAAUGGCCGUUAACAACGUGCUGCUAACCCGCGAGGGCAAGCGAAUCACUAAAAACGGUCUCAGUUCAGAUUGCAGGCUGAAACCCGCCUGUAUGAAGUCGGAAUUGCUAGUAAUCGCGAAUCAGAAUGUCG